UACAGAGGUCCCGAGCGUUGUUCGGAUUCACUGGGCGUAAAGGGUGCGUAGGUGGUGAGGUAAGUCGGAUGUGAAAUCUCCGGGCUCAACCCGGAAAUGGCAUUGGAAACUACCUUGCUGGAGGAUUUGAGGGGGGAUUGGAAUACUUGGUGUAGCAGUGAAAUGCGUAGAUAUCAAGUGGAACACCAGUGGCGAAGGCGAAUCCCUGGAAAUACCUGACACUGAGGACACGAAAGCUAGGGGAGCAAACAGGAUUAGAAA
rnacentral:rRNA from 1 species